rnacentral:lncRNA from 1 species
GAAAGAUAUAAGAUCCAACUUUUUUUCGCGUCCCAGGGGUAUCUUAAGUAUGUAUUUUUUAAAACAUCAAGUUUCUACAACUUACCGGUCUUGAGAUAUUUUGUACAUGCACACGUACAGACCUUGGUCAAAAAAUAAUAAUAAAUAAUAUUUAAAAAAAACGACCGAAAACAAUACUUUCCUAUUACCAUAGGCCUAUAGAGGGCAAUAGAGAAAGUAAAAAUAUGCUUUCAAUAAACAAUGAAGACAGGAAAAGCCCCUAAAAUUAUUUGUAGAACGAUACGUAAUAACAUUGACCAUUGCAUAGAUAUUUGACCGAACAAAGUGAGGUCUAGUUUUAACUGAACGAUUUUGCAUUUAGUUUGUUUGUGGGUUGGUUUGUUUGUUACGCGAUAACUGUCGAACGCUUAUUCCGAUUCGAAUGAAAUUUGGUAGGUGUGUUGAGCAUGUAAAGGAAAUUUGCCCACUAGUUUUUGGGUCCGAUUAAGCUGCUGGCGGCCUCGUGG